UUGGGGUGCAGACUGGUGACAAGACAUUUGUGGAAGUUGUUGGUUUUGGUGACAGACAGAAUAUGGGUCAGAAGCUCAGCUCAAGUUCAUAUAGGUAGUUGAGCCUGUGAAAAAUGAAGGCCCAUUUCUAACACAUCUUGAAAGACUUCAGGAAGUCCCAAAGCACUUUACAAUAAAUGCGGUACUUUUGAAAUGUAAUUGCUGCUGUAAUGUUGGAAAUGUAGUCUAGUUAAUCCUGAGAAUGUGAACUGAAAGCAGCAAGGAAGCAAUGGCCAGGGACUGGAGUUUGAGGUGGGAGCUGUAGACAAUGGCUUAUAUUUUGUUGGAAUAAGGCACCUUGUGCCUUGACUAUUUCAAAUAUUUUCCUCAACCUUCAGUUCAAAAUUUUCUUGCGCCACAAAUUGCUGGAAGAGCAUACGAUACAACUACUGUUCAAGUCAAUCUCCAAAUCUAAGAUAAUUUGAUGACAAGCUUUUCCCUGAGAUUAGUGUCACAGCAGUGCAAACAGUUUGGCAAUUCAUGAUUACUGAUCCUCUAUUUCUACAGGUGGCCCCUGAUCUACAAAUGUCCAAUUUAACAAAUGCUCGUACUUAUGAACAUGACCCCAAACAAGGGUGUAAUUUUAAAGAUCGACAAAUGAACAUUUCCUGUACUUAUAAACGGCUACUUUUAUAUUGUU